UCUUCCUGCAGUUCGCUUCGGUACGUAUACGGCAGACAGUUGCAUCGACAGCGAGUGAAUUUAUUUGAUUUACUUACAUGACCAGUGUAUUUAUUAAAGAAAGACAAUGCGUGUGGGCGUUGUAAGAUGACGUACAGCGUAACCGAUAAUUUUGGGUCAGUGACUAGCAGACAAGAAUUUUUUUCCCGUUCGACAGCGAUUGAGAUACAUGCGAAACAUGGUAUUCGAGCGGUAUCCUUGAGCGAUUGUCGUUAUACGUAAACAAAAGAAACGACAUGGCUGAGUGCACGUGACAGAAGAGACAUUGUCUCGUAGAAUUGAAAAUCGAGAGCUACGAAAAUCCAAGAGAAAUCACAAGAGAAAGUGUAACACUCCUGCAUGUACAAUAUGGUUAUGAUUACGGGCCAAGACUGCUAACCUUCAAAUUCCCAAAAGCAGAGCGUUACUCAAGACUUCCUCUGUAGCUCGUUAACCGUGAACUUGACUCAAAGUCCGACUCUGUGUCUGCUGAGUUUGUAUAGCCCGAGGGAAUCAUUCAUUCGAGUCAGUGUAUUAUACGAGUGAACGUGCUGAAUAAAAAUUCAAUGGUUUAUCAACUAGUUGAACAGUGUCCACAUUGUAUCCACUGCGUACGCACUUACGUGUACGCAAAUUAUUAUCCAAAGUGCGACGGCCGAUCCGAGAAAAAUAGAUAGCCGAUCUUAGUGUGUCAGUGUGCCUAUAUGCUAAUUGGUGGUCGAUGAGCGAGUCAACCUUUGCGAAUUGGCAUGGCCCGUCUCUCUUUAACAUACGCAUAUACCAUACCUACCUUUCAUAGCACGCGAGUACAUACAUAUAUGACUAUAUAAAUACGAAUAAAUAUACUCGUAUAUAUCAGCACGGUUAUUCGUACAGUAGUUUAACGGUACAAUGUUCGCUAUGCUGACGGUAGAAAGUAGUUUGAUAUUUUGACUGUGUCUAGAACCGUACUAUGUAUUUUGGUUAACUUCACAAGUAGCCAAGUAGUAUUGCAAAUCGAAUAAAUCAUUAUCAAGUAUUUCCUACAUACAAAAAGUCUGUCAGGUCAAUAAAGAUUUCACAGCGACUAUGAAUUCCGUGGUUUACAUUGAAUCUUAUGGGAGUAAAUAGGUAAACCAGUAUGUACAUAUAUGUAGAAUCGUGUCGCAUUGAUUGUACGUUGAUAAAGAUGUUGUGGGUUAAUUACUACCGGGUCGAUUAUUAUCACAUGAAAUUCCCCAUCAACUAUGGGAAAUGUUAAGCCGAUUCUCAUUAAGCCCGGGCACAGCAUCAGCGAACCCGCAAACGGCCAACUAGACACGCGGUUCGCACUCUCUGCUAAUUGGCAGAUAAAAGUUGAAGUGGCUGAACUGGAGCGGCGUUCCUGCGCGAAGUAGGAGUCGCAGACAUAAUGAAUUAGCUAGAUAAUUUUAUAAACAGUAGUUUUAAUGUCUUCAUAGUAUUUCGUACCUACCCCGAGCCCGACCUAACCUCCUCACUUAUGGUCAACGCAGCAAACUCCCACAAUGCAUCACCAUCAAGAAAUUCAAAUUCAACGUUCAAACGAUCAACGACCCAACUGCACCUAUGCUGCGAAUCAAUAGCGAAGAAUUCAAAAAGAAAGUCACUAGAUGAAUUAGAUCCAAGUAGCCAGGAUCUGUAAUACGUGUCCGGAUGUGACCCAGUCACUCAUUCGUUAAGUCACUCGCUCACUUUCACCUCCUACGCAUGAAUUUUCUACAUUGACUCUCGCAGCGUUCGCGCCAACCCAAGCAAGAAGCUCAGGGUCGUUCGUAAAAUUCCCUAGAUAUAUCCCUAUAGUCAUCGGCGCCUCACUAGCAUAGAGUUAAUACAGAUAGAGCAGACAAGCCAGCUCUCAACGCGGCAGCGGCGAAGAGAGAGAUAGAUGCAAAUCAGAGUGCAAAGACGGAUAGCUAAAGGGGUUCAGCUGUCUCUUUCUUUCUCAUUAUGAGCGAACGGACACUUACACUUGCAGAGCAGCCUAUGGCUUGUCUGCUCUAUCUGUAUUAACUCUAUGCUCACUAGUCGUCCAGUACCACGCUUUGUCCUUGUUACCAACCGACGUCACGUGUCUAAGAAUACAGUCAGCUUUUUAUCAUCAUCCAACCGCCCACUCUAACCUUCCUGCUACUCUAUUCUCCGUUUCCCCAAUCGUCCCCGCCCUAACCUCCUCACUUUCACCGGCUGCAUUCUGUGCAUCCGGAAUGGUCGACGGCCCGAUCGUAAAUAGGAUAACCACUUGGUGUAAUCUACUUAUCCAUUCGACUACUCAGCACUUUGGACUCUGCUCCAUUCCAUCCAGACUCUCCAAAGCAUUCUCCCGUGUAUCGUCUAGAUAAAUUUUGAUUGGUAAAAGAGAAUGAAAAAAAGUUUCCUUUUCUCCAACAAGUAUGUCUUAUUUUUCAUAUCUAUUCCGGAUACAGCAUCCGAGUCUGGCAUUUCUCUAGGAUAUCCUGUGAGCAUUCCCCAUUGUCCUUAACACUCUCUUAUCAACCCGAUAGCAUGCUUCUCAAUCUCUUUCGUUUCUAGAUGACGUACUCGGCUAACCAGAAUGAUUGGGGUUGCCUUGUAACACGCUCGAUGCGGUUCGUGCCUCGUGGCCCACGCGGACAAGACUCGGCCAUUGGAACGUUCCAAAUACUUACCACGACUGGUACGUACGGGCCAUUGCUGACGGCAUGUUACUCUUGAGUGUCUAAAGAGGGAAUUAAUGUGACAAAGGAAGACACUGUUCUUGGUUGUUGUUUUCGAGAGUUCUCCAUGGCCUACGUCGGCUCCUAGUACACUGAUCAUGGACCGAUUACUAUCUCAAGGAUGGAUACUGGGAACUGUGAACCAAGCAGAAAGAGGAACGAUCCGAGGAGAAAGUUCCGAAGGCAGGAAGUGAAGUAGGCCACGACUUUGACCGCUCGCAAGGUCCAUACCUCUCCUCAUACUAUUGCUGGUCUUGCUGUUACUGUGGUGGCUAUACCGAGCGCCAUCCUGCUGAUGGUAAUUGGUAGGCCACUGCCCACUGCCAACUUACAACUGGCUGAUGCCCACUGCUCGGUUACUGGUAACUGGUGGAACGCACUUCGAUUCGAACCAUUCUUUUUUAUCUUAGUUUGACUUUUUAUGCCUGACGUUAACACUCCAUUUAAUUGACGACCUUUACUCGGUUCGACAAGUUCUCCAAUGGGAUUGGCCCGAUUCUCUAUUGGUACCGUGAUACACUUAAUCGGUUUCAAUAUUUUUUUUAUUACUCUCUACAUCAUGCCUCAAGAGUGUCUGGAUUAAAGGAGCCAUGCCGAGGAAUUUCUACGUGGCCAGAGUUACGUCAGAGCUUUCUCUAUUACGUGGAAUGAGGGUGUACGUCCCUAUUGUAGUAAUGGUGUAUAAAUAUGGACCGAGUCGUUGGGCCUUGAAUUAACAUUUCCUGAUAGGCCGGACCCAUGCAGCCCAUCCGACACGUGGAUGCCCAAGACUGUGUCAAGGCUGUUUUUUAACCCGGAUGAAUGACGUACUAAAAUUUCAACCAGGAAACAGAGAAAAUCUUAUCGCUUCUAUGGAACAGUCUUUUCGACAAGCUCGUACAAUAUCGAUGAAACUAAAAUAACGUCGAUUGGCAAUUAGUCGUUUCUAAAAAGACAUUGCCCGGCUGGUAUACAGUUCCUUUCAAAAUUCCAUCCCGAGUGACAAUGCAAAACGUUCUGCCGAUUGGCUUCGAUGUUAAUUCACUUUUUGCAUGAAUUCACGCCAGGUUGAAUAUCGAUGAGGAGUACCAACAGAAUACCCAGCACACACCGUUACGAUAAAAAAGCAAAAUAUAUCCUAGCAGGUACAAUACAAGUUCAGAAGAUAAAAAUCGAUGGAAAAAAAGGGUCUACUCGUUCAAUCAAUUGCCUUAAGUGAUUUUUUCAUAAAAUCAAUUACACGCAAAAUGGCGUUCCUCAAAAUUCCGUAGGGACUUAAGAAAAAGGUAUAUAAUAAAACGUUCCAGAUAAGAACGUGUUCUCGAUUACCGGAAGUAGCAGCGAGACGUCUGGGUAUCUUCUAGGGUGCCCCUGAGACGGCUAAUAAAAUCGGAAGAAUUAAAUCGGCCUUCGUUCGCUCUGCUACCAAACCAACGAAACAUAGGAGAACGUCCGUCCGACUGGUACAGACUUUACCUACUGCCUAUGCUACACGCACCGACCAUACCUACAGUCUGGUGCAUAAAUAGUUACUCCAUACACUAAUCACGUAGCAUACUACUCGUUCGUACAUAUGUACUUUAUACACGAGUGUACUCGCACGUAUCUCUGUAUACUAGGCUGUAGCGAACGAUAAUCGUAGAGUAGGUCAGCGGAACAGCGCCUCUAGCAAUCUGCGUUCUUCGGCUCUUCAAUAUUUACUCCUUCUUGUAUCGAAGAUGCCAUGGACUUCGUAUACACUGGAAUGGACCAGUUGGAUUAACGUGCCCAGUUGCAUUCGAGAGGAACAAUCCUUAUGACAAUCUUGAUCUGCAUACGAGUACCGGAUAUCCCCUCCCUAAAACAAAGCCAUAGUAAUUAUUGCGUGACAAUGAUAAAACGAUUUUUGUAAUUUGCUUAAAUUUCUCUAUGAAUUGUCGAGGAAAGUUGAAGAAAGGAGUGUGUACAAAUCAAUACCGAAUAAAGGAUAGAUUAUUGAGGAA